CACACACACACACACACACACACACACACACACACACACACACACCACACACACACACACACACGCACACGCACACACACACACACACACACACGCACACACACACACACGCACACACACACACACACACCCCACAUCUCCCAGGAGAUGUGUUAUCUCCUAUCUUAUGCAGUUGCACAGUUGGCUUGUAGAGACUUCAGGGACAUGUUAAGAUUUAUAUGCAGUAGCAGAAUAGAUAUAGUGCUCAACCCCCUCGCGCUUUCUGCUAACAACCACAUGAUGCAGAUCAGGUAUAUGUGUGUGUGUGCACGUGUGUGUGUGUGUGUGUGCACGUGUGUGUGUGUCUUAUCUGUUAACCUGUGCAACCGCUAGGUACCUAGUGGAGCUCAGCUAGCACGGGUAGGUGCAUACACUCCUAAUCUUAUCCAUCCCAUAAUCACCAUACAUCUUUCUAAUCAUCCCUUUGUUUCAGUUUCUCCACCUCUUCACCAGGCAGAGGCAGUAUUCUGUCUCCAAGGCAACAAGCCUCUUAAAUAUGGGUUCUACAAAAUAUGGGUUAUACAAACAUUUCAGCUAGAACCUCGUCCCCUUAUCGUGUUCAAUGGGUCAACAGAUCCCUUCUGUUCAUUUGGCAUAUUUGCAGAAUAUUUAUGUGUGUGUGUGUGUGUGUGUGUGUUUGUACUGUCGGAAAGGAAAGACAGGAAUUUUUAUCUUUACUGAAGAUAAGAAAUCUGUUUUACUCAGGGAGGGAGUUGAAGAUGGUGUGUGUGUGUGUGUGUGUGUGUGUGUGUGUGUGUGUGUGUGUGUGUGUGUGUGUGUGUGUGUGUGUGUGUGUGUGUGUGUGUGUGAGUGAGUGAGUGUGUUUCUGCGUGUAUGCGUACAUGUAUGCGUACAUGAGUUGAAGAUUGUGUGUGUGUGUGUGUGUGUGUGUGUGUGUGUGUCUAAGUACAUGCAUGCAUAUGUGUGUGUGUGUGUGUGUGUGUGUGUGUGUGUGGUCCCCCCUCACACCCCAGUGUCCUCUUACGGCAGGGUCACUCAGUUACCAGAGAGCGAGAGGAAGGGGAGAGAGAAAGAGAGACGGAGAGAAAACUAAGAAAAAGAGAAGGAGAGAGAAAUUAAAGAUGUCAUUGUUUCCUCUCCUCUGUUGUUCAUCCAGCCCUCCACUCGCUUCUGGGUCCAGCAGAUGGAGUGGCUGUAGAGGUGUGUGUGUGUGUGUGUGUGUGUGUGUGACUGCAUGUUGGUGUGUGCUUGGGAGCAGGUAUGGUCCACAUGUUGGAAUCAGGUACCCUUUCACAGUCUCCCAGAACUGUGUAUGUGUGUGUGUGCGUGCAUGCGUGUGUGCGUGUACAUUUUAAGCAUGUCUACAACCUCUCCGGAGGUGUGUCGAUGUUUGCCUGAUAUUUUGUAGAACUCGGCUGGUAGGUGGAUGUGAAAGGUUAAAGGUUAAAUGUGAAUGUUUCCACUGCUUUUCUUUUUACUGGCACAAACAAACAAACAAAUAAAUAAACUAACGAACGAACGAACAAACAAACAAUGAAUGUGGGUGCAAACUUAAAAUAAGGCAUUUGUAUUUGAUUUGACCUUUGUGAUUUUAAAACUGAUGAUUCUUCUCCUCUUUCCUUUCCUCUUGUUUUUCUUUUCUUUUCUUGUACUGCGAUGAUGAACUGAAUCAGGAGUCCUUUCAUAGCGUUGACUGUUGGAUGAUCUCUUGUUUAUGUUUAUGUUUAUGAUCUCUUGUUUAUGUCCUUACUGCUUAAUCCUACUCAGGCAGGGAAACUCAUCUUCAUAUUUAUUUCCCUCACAUCCUCUGUUGGUGGGCCUAUUAUUAUUAUUAUUAUUGUUGUUAUUAUUAUUAUUCGAGCGAAGACGAAGCAUCCCCCCUCAGUCUGAUGCGUAUGGGGAUGUGAGAGACUGGGGAGGGGAAGGGGGGGGGGGGGGGGGGGGGCAGAUGUCACCUCUUUCUGCCCCAGCACCCACCUCCCCCACACACACUCACACACACACCCACACACACUCUCUCACACACACACACACACACACACACAACACACA
ensembl:lncRNA